UACGUAGGGACCAAGCGUUGUUCGGAUUUACUGGGCGUAAAGGGCGCGUAGGCGGCUUAACAAGUCACUUGUGAAAUCUCCGGGCUUAACUCGGAACGGCCAAGUGAAACUGUCAAGCUAGAGUGCAGAAGGGGCAAUCGGAAUUCUUGGUGUAGCGGUGAAAUGCGUAGAUAUCAAGAGGAACACCUGCGGCGAAGGCGGGUUGCUGGGCCGACACUGACGCUGAGGCGCGAAAGCCAGGGGAGCGAACGGG
rnacentral:rRNA from 1 species